rnacentral:lncRNA from 13 species
AUACACACUCAUAGGCACGUUUGCUUAAGAUCAAAACACUGGAUAACAGAUGUGUGUGCGCUACCUGAAUAGGGCUCCCCCACGAAAAUAACAAAGAGAACGAGCCGAAGAUAGCCUAUGACAAAGACUAAGCCUGUGCAGCUGGAGUCUCGGAAAGCAGAAGACAGCUGCACUGGAGGAACACACCAAGGAGAACAUCUCAAGAAGGAGGUAGGAUCCCGGCCCGAAUGCUGCAAAGACAUGAAGAAUUUAGAUGAGGACUUGGAGACCUGCAGUCAAUGUGUUCAUCAGGUCCAUGGUGACCUCGUGGGGAGUUUAUCCAUGCUCCAAGCUGAUCCCGACCAGGCCAGCUGCUUCACUUAUCUCUUCUUCCAUGCCUCCGAGGCUCCCUGUUGAAUCCCACCAUUCUCUCUUAGACAAGGGAGUCCACCUGUGGUUAUCUCCUCAGGCACUGGGCACCUCUAUUCAGCCAUCCGGAGGCCCUCUCGAUCAAAAACUAAAAAGGUGUGAACAAAAGAAGCUUCCAAUCCUUCUGGCUUUCUUCCCAAAGCCAGGAAGCAGCUCCUGAGUGGUGGAUUUUGGAUUAUAGGUGAAGCUCCCAGCAAAGGGCCUGGCCCAGAGAAAUGCUCAAGAGUAGGAUGAAAAGACUGAGGACUUCUUCCUCUACAAAAGGAAGGGUUGGGACUGAUGGACACUGAAAAGUCUAGAUCUUCACAAUCCUCAACAGUUUCACCACCAAUGCACACACAAAAUGAGUGUGCCCUAUAUUUCCAGUCCUGUGAUGAAUAUGAAAAGAGCCUCACCUUCAGGUUCCAAGUCCAGAUCUGAGACCUCACAGGGAGGGCUCACCUUCCUGGUCCCAAAGUACUUCAAAAUAUAUAAUCCUUCAAUCUUAAACAUAUACAUUUUAUUGCUUUUUAUUAUACAGUUAUACAUAUUUACUAUUGAAAAUACAGGUAAGAAAAAAAAGAAAAUGGUUCAUUGCAUUCAUUAACACUAUCCAGGUUUGAAAAAUUACUGUUCAGCAUUAUGUUGAAGAAUCUGACUCUUUUCCUAUGCAUGCAUGGAUUUCAAGCAAAAAUGGAUACUCCGGGUAUACCUUGUUUUA